rnacentral:RNase_P_RNA from 1 species
CAGAGCAGGCGAUCGCGGGUGCAGGUGCCGAAAGGCCGCACGUGAGGAAAGUCCGGGCUUCAUAGGGCAGGAUACCGGCUAACGGCCGGCGGAGGCAACUCCCGGGACAGUGCAGCAGAGAUAUACCGCCGCGUAACUGCCGGAACUCGUUCCGGUAAGACGCGGUAAGGGUGAAAAGGCAGUGUAAGAGACUACCGUCCGUGCAGUAAUGUGCGGAGCCAUGUAAACCCUAUCCGAAGCAAGACCGAAUUAAGACAAUGAGUCUGCCCGGCUCGUCUUAGGUGGGUCGCUUGAAGCUGCCGGCAACGGCAGUUCUAGAAAGAUGAUCGUCCAACGACAUAACCCGGCUUAUCGCUCUGCUUA